UUCUAACAUGGUUUAAAGUGGUUUUGGCCACUGUCACGCUGGCCUUACCUGGUCUUAGCUGGUUUUCUUUACUGAAUCAACUGGUUUUAGCUGGUUUAGUAUAGAAAAAUGAAAACAACAUGCUAGUUACUCACUAAUCAGACUAGAAACAUGCUUUUAACAUGGUUUUAAAGUGGUUUUGGCCACUGUCACGCUGGCCUUAGCUGGUUUUGGCUGGUUUAGUAUAGAAAAAUGAAAACAACAUGCUAGUUACUCACUAAUCAGACUAGAAACAUGCUUUUAACAUGGUUUUAAAGUGGUUUUGGCCACUGUCAUGCUGGCCUUAGGUGGUUUUAGCUGGUUUUAGCUGGUUUUCUUUACUGAAUCAACUGGUUUUAGCUGGAUUAGAAUAGAAAAAUGUUAACAACAUGCUAGUAACUUGCUUAUCAGACUAGAAACAUACUUCUAACAUGGUUUAAAGUGGUUUUGGCCACUGUCACGCUGGCCUUAGCUGGUCUUAGCUGGUUUUCUUUACUGAAUCAACUGGUUUUAGCUAGAUUAUCAUAGAAACAUGUUAACAACAUGUUAGUAACUUGAUAAUCCGGUUAGAAACAUGCUUUUAACAUGCUUUUAACAUGGUUUUAAAGUAGUUUUGGCCACUGUCACGCUGGUCUUAGCUGGUUACUAACUGAAUCAACUAGUUUUACCUGGAUUAACAUAGAAACAUGCUAGUCACUUGCUAAUCAUGCUAAAAAAAUACUAGUCACUUUGCUAAUCAUGAUAACAAAAUGCUAGUCACUUUGUUAAUCAUGCUAAAAACAUGCUAGAAACAUGCUACAAACAUGCUAGUCAUGCUAGCAACAUGCUAGAGACAUGCUAGUCAUGUUAACAGCAUGCUAGUCACUUGCUACUUAUGCUAGCUACAUGCUAAUAAUGCUAACAACAUGCUAGUCUCUUGUUAAUCAUGGUAACAACAUGCUAGUAACUUUGCUAAUCAUGCUUAAAACAUGCUAAUAACAUGCUAGUCACUUGCUAAUCAUGCUAGAAACAUGCUAGCGACAUGCUAGUCACUUGCUAAUCAUGCUAAAAACUUGCUAGUGACAUGCUAGUCAC
ensembl:lncRNA